CCCAGGCCACCGGCCUGAUGAGGGAAGCAGGGGCAGAGAGCUCAGGCCAGGGCCGGUGGGGGCACUGCGCACUGGCCGCCUCCCUCCUCUGGCCAAUCCUCCUGCCGCUGCGGGUCUAGUCCACCUCGUCCCUCUCUGCAGUCUUCCUGCCUGAGCCCUUCCAACUUCAGGAGGUCGGUGUCAUGGACAACAGUGUCUGCGGAUCCUUUUUCCAGCCCCAGUACCCCGGCCAGCCAAGCAGCAGUGACUACACCAUCCACGAGGACAUGCUGUGCGCUGGGGACCUCAUAACAGGAAAGGCCAUUUGCCGAGCAUGUUCCUACGUGGAGCAUGGAGUUACGCAAUGGCCUGCCUGUCCAUGAAGUUCCUCUGGCCUCCUCCGAUUCUGUGGCUGCAAAUCCACACCUAGGAGCUCCGCAGGCCUGCUGGAGCACAGCGCCUGUCGGUUUCUGCGCCUGGAACCCACCUCAGGACCACAAGCCGCAUUCAGUCUCUUUUUAUAGAUCUGGAACCCGAAGCCCAGCGUGGUUAGGAACUUGUCUAAGGUCACGUGGUAGUAAAUACUGGAACAGGGAUUCAAACCCACAUCUCCAGAGAGAGCUCAGAAGCCUUGUGCUUCCCAUGAGUGCAGCUGUUCCCAGAGGCCUCCGGCCCUGUCUCACCUUCCCAGACUGCCUUGAGAGGCUCUAGCUGGCCUGUCUCUAGUGUGGCCAGAUUCUGUCUGGUCAGUGGCAAGGGAGGACCCCAGGCCACAAUACUGACAUCAGGGAACAGAACAGAUCUGCAGGGCCAGUGAGUGGUGCUACGGAAAGGCUGGGAGUGGCCCCUGCGUGGUUUUCCCUAGACCCAUUGUCAGGGGCUCCAGGCCUCCAUGUGUUGUGCUGCACGGGCUACUGGCUCCCUCUCCAAAAUCGACCCUGGGUGAGCUGUGGAGGUGAGAAGGCAGUGUGCAUUUCAGAAACUAACCAAAAUCAGUGAGAAAAUCUUGGAGAAACUGAAGUUACCCUGGGCGGCUGUAGCUGGGAAUGGAGGAUGGGGCAGCCAGGAGCCAGACUUAAGAAGGCUGUUCACACUCUGCUCUUGUUGCUUGCCUCCCACACCUCGUGACAAAUGCUGCCUGGUCCUGCUGAGGUGUCAGGAUUGCAAGGUGGCUGUGUCAGCCAGCGUGAGGGCCCCACAAGCCACCGGUGUUGUGUGCCCUCCAUCCUCCUCCUGAAACCCCCCUGGGUGGGACAGUUGCUAUCCAGGGAAAUGGGCCUCUUCCACUGUGAUCUCCUCCAGGGCUUUCACCGGAAGGCCCGCCUGCAGGAGUGGCUUGUGGGGUGGCAGGAUGCAGGAGAGAGUGAGUGAGGUGCUUCAUGCCUGGGGCCCUCUGCUCUGGGGCCACCUUCCUCGUUGACUCAUUGGGAGCCUUGCUAGUGCAGACAGGGUGACCAGGAGCUGCUAAGCCCAGGGAAUGCACACACGUGCACUGGAGCAGCUGCCUAUCUUAAGAGUCCAAUGCCCACCGAAACACAGUAGGCUGCACAGCAUCCACCACUGGAAGUAGAGUUGCUGGAAAAGACAGACCAAACGUAUUUAAUAAGCACAAUAAAUAUCUUUUUGGAUACAGAAAAAUAUUAUUAGCAAUAAGACCUAAGACAAAGAAACUACCGAAAAGAACCAAGUCAAAAUAUUACAUAUGCAAAAUGUAAUCGUUGAAUUAAAGACCACAUUACAUUGAGCAAACAGGGUCAAUGCAGAUGAAAGAGGAAGCCAGUCGUUACUUUAAAGGUAUGGCUGUCACAGUGUGGACUUUGGAGCCGGUCCACUUUAGUUGGGGUAAUUUGUAGAGCAUUUAUUUACAAAAGUACUAAUCACCCAGGUAUGUUUGGGCUGAAGGCUCCGGGAAAGCCCAGGGCAGGGGUCUGGCACAGGCAUCAGAAGCAGAGCUCUUGCCACCCAAGGCCCUGAGGGACCAGUGAAGUAGGAGCCGUGGGGAGAGGGUGCCUGAGAGGAGCAGGGACACUCAGCCGAGGGACACAGCCAGCCAAGGCGGCCUCACAAAGAGGGUUUUCAUGGAAACAAAUGCACUGACUACUUCAUUCCCACAUCUUUGCCUGAGGCUCCCAUGGCAAGUGGAGAGAGCAGCUGCAGGUGGCCUCGGUCACUUGGGUCAGCUCUCCUGCUUAAAACAAACACAGAAAUCAAUAAAAAUGUUGAUUGUAUUAUU
rnacentral:sRNA from 1 species